UACGUAGGGUGCGAGCGUUGCCCAGAUUUACUGGGCGUAAAGAGCGCGCAGGCGGUCGAUCAAGUCGAGUGUGAAAGCCCCCGGCUCAACUGGGGAGGGUCAUUCGAUACUGAUCGACUCGAAGGCAGGAGAGGGUAGUGGAAUUCCCGGUGUAGUGGUGAAAUGCGUAGAUAUCGGGAGGAACACCAGUGGCGAAGGCGACUACCUGGCCUGUUCUUGACGCUGAGGCGCGAAAGCUAGGGGAGCAAACGGG
rnacentral:rRNA from 1 species